AUUGUAGAGGAAUAUCAAUAACUUUUUAGAAAUUGUAAUGUAACAGUUUGCGAACUUUAUAUGCCUUGUGCUCUGGGUUCGUCUUGGUAAAACUUGGAUCCUCGAUUCCAUCCCAUUUUACUGACACUUUGCUACAUAUCUUACUUCUGGAUGUUCAAGUAAACAUUCCGAUCCAAUACCAUUCUGAAUCAUAUUUCGGACAACAUCAUAUUUCGGACACUAAUAAUAAUGAUUUUUGGACCACUUUUUUUCUAAUAUCUUGAUAUGCUCAAUGCACUGAUGAUAUAACUAUCAAAUUAAUAUCACAAUUGCUUCUUUAGAGUAAUCCCUUGGUUUCACUAUCAUUUCACAUGAGAACUACAUUUGAAUUAUAACAUAAUUGGCAGAAAUCUUACAACACUACUCAUUAUCGUUUGUAUUUGAUGUUUCCUUAGCGUGUGCACGUAGAAUUUAAACGUUUAUAAAUAUUUAAAUUUCUCCCGUGUUUUAUCAGUUCUCAUAAUCGUUAACAGUUUACUGUGAUUGCUUGGUAACUGUUUCGCAUUUGACUAUAAAAUAUAAUCAAGUGUAAUGUAAUUUUCGUCCAAAAAAUCAUAUGCCAAAGCAUCAUAUGCCUUAAGCGUCCGAAAUAUGAUUCAUAACGGUACAUUAAUUCGGGACAUACAUCAGUUCCAGAAUCAGAGUGCACCCGUGGCCGAGUGGUUAGCGUCUCACAUUAUCAUGCCGGGUGUUCGGGUUAGAUUCCCGUUCUGGCCGGAGGAUUUUUCGUCAGAGAAAUUUCCUUCGACUUGCACUGUGGUCACGCGUAUUCUAGAGCUUGCCCCUCGGAAUACAUUGAAGGCGUGUUAUUUGGCUUAAGAAAUCUCAACUAAGUAUUAAUAAAUGACGCUAGUUAAUGCAUUCGUUGAGACGGCAAAAGUUCCACAGAGAACGUUAACGCCAUUCAAGAAGAAGAAGAUCAGUUCCUGCCAAAAUGUCCGUUGGGCCCUUAUGAUUUGAACGCUAGCAUUAAUUGAAGAUGUGGUAGUUCGUUCAUUUUUAUUCAUCGAAUUAUUUUUGCCUUUAAUAAUAAUAUUUUCUUUGUGUAGUGGAAUGUGUAAUACGCACCCCCUAAGCGAGAAUGGAUUUAUCUUGACCGUGCUCUCAAAAUUUAAGGUAACAACUCCGUCAGUACGUAGAUUAGUUAACCCUCAGUCAUCUGUACUCGUUCUGUAUUUUAGAUACUGAAUAACAAAAGUGCUACGAAUUUUAUUUUGUAAGGCGUCCAAAUUCUAAAUUUCCAAUCAUACAGUGUUAAAUGGCCCAGCAGAAGUAUAAUAUGCUCAUGAGUUGUUUCUCUCAGAGAAACAGCUUGUAUGAAUGAGAGAUUCCAUCAAUCUAUUUCCUUCAUGCCCACCAGCGAAGAGAAGAAACCGUUCCUCCGGUGAGCUUGUUCUCCUAGUAUUUGUGCAUUAAUUCUCCAGUCCGCGCUCUUGUUUUCGUGCAUUCUCUGAGCACAUAAUAUAGAUGCCAGAUGUGAAGACAUGUUUUCGUUGUCAAGACAUUUAAUUUUGUGAAAACCAAGAUGAAUAGAAGUAUUACUACGGUGAGGCCGUUUCUUCAAUAAGUUAGCGAGGGGAGUGCUCAAUUAUAAUGUUACGCGAAGCCGUGUAGCCGAUGAUGCUUUAAAAUCUUCUUUUGUGUUCACGGUUGGAAUUGGCUUUACGGUUAAAACACUACUCCUGCAUCCAACACUUAAUUUGUAGACUCAACAGGACACUGUUGGACAGCAAACGAUGUCGUAGAAUUACAACUGCAUAAUUCGUAUGUAUGGCAUUACGAACGAGGAAAGCUUUUACUCUAUUCAGAAUUGGAUAACGCAGAUAAAGAGCUACUCAUAGGAUAAUUCUCCACUCGUUCUGGUGGAUUGUUAAGUACACCAAUGUGCCAUAUAUGAGAAGUGAAUGUGGUAUGAAAUACGAGCGUGAAGCAUUUCUUAAACGUGGCAAACAGUUAGAGAACGUAUACGUGGAGACUGGUCGUAUAAUUUGCGACAAAAUGUUCGAAGACUUAGAUUCAGAUCUCGCGUUGAUAGCGAGUGAACCAAUGGAGCAGAGACCAACAUAUCAACCGCAAGGACCACUAGACGCUAAUUGCAAUUGCUGAGUAAAUAGAGGAUAGAGGAAUCGAAUAAGCAAUGAAAUUGGAUUGGAAAAAUGCUUCAUAUGAUAAAAUAAUAAUUAUUAUCAUUAUUUUUUGCUAAAAUUUAGUCAUUUCGAGUUGUAGAUAAUUUAAAACAUUUGUCAUAAUCGGAAACUUCAGGAAUAUGCUUCCAUUUAUUUUGCCUCGAAUGUACUUGUUUAAAAUCACCAAUACUAGUUUUCCUGUUGGUAUUCAGCACUCUACCAAUUUAAAUACAAAAAAAAUUUUAUUAGUGGAAUUAAAUUUACAUUUCAAGGAUGAAUACAGCAAUAAAAAGUUCGAUUGAAACGCUGCUUUGGUCCAAUAAAUUUUCUUCCUUUGUCUAUUCCUUUUAUCUUUCGCAUUUGACGUGGAAAUCGAUGAUCCAAUCUGUACGAGAAUGUAAUUUAUAUAUCAUUCCAGCUAACAAUGUAAACUACACGAUUAGAUAUAAUAAUAAUUAUAUAAUAUAAUUAUAUGGUUUGAAUACAAUUCCAACCGUUUGUAUAGACGAAAAAAAAAGUUUUGCGAAUAGAAAAAUUGUGCCACGGGGUAAUGAAAAACAUUAUUGUAUAUUGGUGAACAAAACCUCUUGAAGAUACGUCGUUCAUACUUAGAUAUGUCAGACUAGCGUAGACAAUAAAUGAAGUAAGGAUUGAAAAAGCCGUGGAAU